CAGAGUGCAGGAGCCCAGGAACAGAUCCAAGACCUGAAACAUAAGUGGAGCGGAAAGAAAGCAUUGUGAAAUCUGGAGGGAACUUCCAGGUUUCCACGCUGGUUGUGACGGACACUUAGAAGCGGGUGAGAUGGAUAUCAGAGUGCAGGAGCCCAGGAAAAGAUCCAAGACCUGAAACACAAGGAGAGUGGAAAGAAAGCGUCGUGAAAUCUGGAGGGAACUUCCAGGUUUCCACGCUGGUUGUGACGGAGACUUAGAAGCGGGUGAGAUGGAUAUCAGUGUGCAGGAGCCCACAAACAGAUCCAAGACCUGAAACACAAGGAGAGUGGAAAGAAAGCAUUGUGAAAUCUGGAGGGAACCUCCAGGUUUCCACGCUGGUUGUGACGGGACACUUACAAG
ensembl:lncRNA